rnacentral:snRNA from 1 species
GUGCUCGCUUCGGCAGCACAUAUACUAAAAUUGGAAUGAUACAGAGAAGAUUAGCAUGGUCCCUGCACGAGGAUGACAUGCAAAUGUGUGAAGAGUUUCAUAUUUUU